GAUGAACGCUGGCGGCGUGCCUAACACAUGCAAGUCGAACGGAGUUUAGAUGAAACCUAGUGAUUCUAAACUUAGUGGCGGACGGGUGAGUAACGCGUGGGUAACCUGCCCUAUAGAGUGGGAUAGCAGUUAGAAAUGACUGAUAAUACCACAUAAGACCACAGUACGGCAUCGUACAGGGGUCAAAGAUUUAUCGCUAUAGGAUGGACCCGCGUCUGAUUAGCUGGUUGGUGAGACAACAGCCCACCAAGGCGACGAUCGGUAGCCGACCUGAGAGGGUGAUCGGCCACAUUGGAACUGAGAUACGGUCCAGACUCC
rnacentral:rRNA from 1 species